rnacentral:rRNA from 1 species
UACGGAGGAUGCAAGCGUUAUCCGGAAUGAUUGGGCGUAAAGCGUCCGCAGGUGGCUGUGUAAGUCUGCUGUCAAAGAGCAAAGCUCAACUUUGUAAAGGCAGUGGAAACUACACGGCUAGAGUGCGUUCGGGGCAGAGGGAAUUCCUGGUGUAGCGGUGAAAUGCGUAGAGAUCAGGAAGAACACCGGUGGCGAAGGCGCUCUGCUAGGCCGCAACUGACACUGAGGGACGAAAGCUAAGGGAGCGAAUGGG